GACGAACGCUGGCGGCGUGCUUAACACAUGCAAGUCGAACGGAAAGGCCCUGCUUUUGUGGGGUGCUCGAGUGGCGAACGGGUGAGUAACACGUGAGUAACCUGCCCUUGACUUUGGGAUAACUUCAGGAAACUGGGGCUAAUACCGGAUAGGAGCUCCUGCUGAAUGGUGGGGGUUGGAAAGUUUCGGCGGUUGGGGAUGGACUCGCGGCUUAUCAGCUUGUUGGUGGGGUAGUGGCUUACCAAGGCCUUGACGGGUAGCCGGCCUGAGAGGGUGACCGGCCACAUUGGGACUGAGAUACGGCCCAGACUCCUACGGGAGGCAGCAGUGGGGAAUAUUGCACAAUGGGCGGAAGCCUGAUGCAGCAACGCCGCGUGCGGGAUGACGGCCUUCGGGUUGUAAACCGCUUUCGCCUGUGACGAAGCGUGAGUGACGGUAAUGGGUAAAGAAGCACCGGCUAACUACGUG
rnacentral:rRNA from 1 species